rnacentral:rRNA from 1 species
GAGCUACCGCUAUUGGAGUUCGAUUAAGCCAUGCGAGUCUAGAGGCCUAGCCUCGGCGUACCGCUCAGUAACACGUGGGUAACCUACCCUAUGCUGGGGGAUAAGCUCGGGAAACUGAGAAUAAUACCCCAUAGUCCACUACGCCUGGAACGGUGAGUGGAUCAAAGCUCCGGCGGCAUAGGAUGGGCCUGCGGCGUAUCAGGUUGUAGGGGGUGUAACGUACCCUCUAGCCAUCCACGCGUACGGGUGUUGGGAGACAUUGCCCGGAGAUGGAUUCUGAGACACGAAUCCAGACCCUACGGGGUGCAGCAGGCGCGAAAACUUGGCAAUGCGAGAAAUCGUGACCAGGGAACUCCAAGUGGCAGGGGUAAGACCCUGUCUUUUUCCGACUCUAAAUAGGUCGGCGAAUAAGGGGUGGGUAAGGACGGUGCCAGCCGCCGCGGUAAUACCGGCGCCUCAAGUGGUAGUCGCUUUUAUUGGGCCUAAAACGUCCGUAGCCGGUCUGGUACAUUCGUGGGUAAAUCAACUCGCUUAACGAGUUGAAUUCUGCGAGGACGGCCAGACUUGGGACCGGGAGAGGUGUGGGGUACUCUCAGGGUAGGGGUAAAAUCCUGUCAUCCUGAGAGGACCACCUGUUGCGAAGGCUCCACACUAGAACGGAUCCGACGGUCAGGGACGAAGCCUAGGGGCACGAACCGGAUUAGAUACCCGGGUAGUCCUAGGUGUAAACGCUGUGGACUUGAUGUUGGGGACGCUCCGAGCGUUCUCAGUGUCGAAGCGAAGGUGAUAAGUCCACUGCCUGGGGAGUACGGUCGCAAGGCUGAAACUUAAAGGAAUUGGCGGGGGA